AAGAAAAUGAGGUUAGCAAUGCCUCCGCACAACAAAAAAAGGAGGUUAGCAACGCCUCCGCACGGGUAAAAAGUUCUGGUGCUAAGAAGACCGUAGCUAGGAAAAAACCUACCACCAAGUAUAGGUCGUGCCUCAGGACAUUUCUAGAGAUGACCGAUAUACCGACCGGAGGUGUUCGGACUGUACAUAUGGAGUACUUUGAUGAAUUCAAGUGUGCAUUUUAUAUAAAGGAUCAAGUGGACGAAAUCAAAGAGGAGUGGUGUCAAUUCAUGAUAAAGCUCAAUGUUUGUUCAUAAAUUUGUGUAAUUAAUGUGUACAUUUGUAGUAUAUGUUAUGACUUGUAAAUGUGUACAUAAAUUUGUAUAUAUUUUGAUACAUUUAAGGCAAAAUUGGUUUGAAUUGGUAUAUA